rnacentral:rRNA from 1 species
CCAUACCCCGGCCACCGCCUGCCUUUGGGACCUGGUCAAGGCCCUCAUGGAUGAGAUGUACGAUUACUUCGCGAUCUCUGAAGCUGCCGGCCCAUGUGCGCAUCGCCCUGGCCUGCUGUCUGAACAUGUGCGGCGCCGUUCACUGCUCUGAUAUCGCCAUCCUGGGAAUCCACCGCACCGUGCCGAUAAUCGACAACGAACGAGUGCCCAACGUUUGCGAAAUCCCUUCCACGGAUGGCAUCCUGCCCCACGGGCGCCAUCCGGGGCUGACAU